rnacentral:rRNA from 1 species
UACAGAGGUCCCAAGCGUUGUUCGGAUUCACUGGGCGUAAAGGGUGCGUAGGUGGUGAGGUAAGUCGGAUGUGAAAGCUCGGAGCUCAACUCCGAAAUGGCAUUGGAAACUACCUUGCUCGAGGGUUGGAGGGGGGACUGGAAUACUUGGUGUAGCAGUGAAAUGCGUAGAUAUCAAGUGGAACACCAGUGGCGAAAGGCGAGUCCCCUGGACAACUCCAGACACUGAGGGCACGAAAGCUAGGGGGGAGCAAAACAGGGA